UUAUUUUUUUCAUGUGCCUUCUUUUUAAGAAUUUUCAUGACAUUUGGAUUACGUCUGUAUAAUUUACACUUUCUUCUACUUUGCCUUGCUCGUCCUCUUAAACAGGAUUUCCUCAUUCGGUAGGCUGGUGUACAUCUUUGAGAAAGAAAAUGUGGGUGCUCUACUUCCUGAGAGUUUGCUUAUCUGAAAUGUUGCUUCACAAUUAUAUGACAACUUAAAAAGCUAUGUUUCUACCCAUAAGGAGAAGAGGCCAGUGUGCCUGGAACUAAGUGGCAUAAAGUAAUCAGGGGAUCGAUCAUGAAGAAUCUUGGAAUGAAACAAGGUUUUCACUUGUGUUCGGUUAAUGGGAGGCACUGGUAGAGAUUGAAGGGCAGGAGAAAGAACACUGAGUACUUACUUACCACCACUUCCUUUGGGGUACUAUUUGAAAAUAGCUGCAUUCCUUUACCGUGAGAUCUCCAGGUCCCUAAAGUACUGUGGGAGCAGGAAUAGGGCACAAACAUAAACCAGAAAAUUACAAGAGAACAUGGCGAUUUUUUUCCUUAGAAGAUGGGACAUUGAAUUAUUCGUAAGAAAUGACAGAAGAGGAUUUACAAAUGACUUUCAAGAUGAAUCCACAGUAAUAACUACAGUACUAAUAGCCACUAUUUAUUGCUCACCACUACUGUUUGUGAUGUUCUGUACACAUUGUUUCUGAUCCUUACAACUGCCAAGUUGGGUAGAUUUCAUCAGGCCCAUCAUAAAAACGGAAACAUUGGGGUUUGCGGGCCUCAAAUAACUUACCAUAGGUCACACAAACAAUGUGACCUGACCUUAUGUUCAUGCUUUUUCCA